UAAGGAAUAUUGGUCAAUGGACGCAAGUCUGAACCAGCCAUGCCGCGUGGAGGAUGAAGGUCCUCUGGAUUGUAAACUUCUUUUAUCUGGGACGAAACACUUCUUUUCUAAGAGGCAUGACGGUACCAGAUGAAUAAGCACCGGCUAACUCCGUGCCAGCAGCCGCGGUACUACGGAGGGUGCAAGCGUUAUCCGGAUUUACUGGGUUUAAAGGGUGCGUAGGUGGGCUUAUAAGUCAGUGGUGAAAUCUCCGAGCUUAACUUGGAAACUGCCGUUGUUACUAUAGGUCUGGAAGUAUCUGGAGGUAAGCGGAAUAUGUCAUGUAGCGGUGAAAUGCUUAGAUAUGACAUAGAACACCAAUUGCGAAGGCAGCUUACUACAUAUAAAUUGACGCUG
rnacentral:rRNA from 1 species